UUACUUUUCCAGAAGUUGUGUUUGAAGUAUAGAGAAAUGUGUUGCUGGCAUUGGAAUACCAGACAGGCUGACAACACGGCUGGAGGUAGGAGUGGUGUGCAGAAUAAAUAGCCACCGAAUGUAGUGACAACUUUGAGUGACAGAUGAAGAAAAAAAAGAACUAUUUUUCUGAUAACAUGUCAAGAAACAAAUGCCUCUUUCUUUCAGAAGAAAAAGCUCACCUCUAUUGCUGGAUACUUAGCAUUUGGAAGGACAAGUUAGUUGACAUGACAGUUCAUCUUCAAACUGACCUUUGGGGCUCACUCACAGAAUCUGCAUGAUGAUGUCUUCAAUUCUAAGAAUAACUGUGGAUGUAAUAUAUUGAGCAUUCACCACAUGCUGACCAAGAUAAACAUUCUAUAGCCGUCGUUUAAUUCUCAUCACAAUCCGGUGAGAUAUUGCUAUUCCCUUUGACUUAAUGAAGAAACUGAAAUGUGGAAAGGUUAAAGGAACAUGCAGAUAGAAGUUGCAGUGCCUGGAUUCAAACCCAGAUGUGAUCAUUUUUUGAAAGAGUAAGAACGAACACUCUCUCCCUUCCCCAAGGUAGAAUCUAAGAACAACAGACAGUGGUUAAGAACUGAGCUGAGUUUUUGCUGAACUAGGGGUCUGUGAGCUCUACUUGUGUGACUAAUGAAGUGAGGCAUUAAGUGGCAAUAGAGCCACUGAGAAGGACUCUCAUUCUCAGCAAGCACAAAGUGAAAAGAAGUGAGCAGACUAGACCUUACAUAAUGUUGAGAAUUACUGAUUCUCUAGAGGGAGAAACAAUUUGAAAUUUUAGCAUGUAUUUAAUAAGCACUAGUAUAGCAUAAACUGUAUGUCAGACAUUAUUUUUACUUGAAAAUUACUUGAUUACUUGAUAACUAUUUUUACUUGAUUAGCUCAUUUAGUCCUUAAAAUAACCUAUGAAAUGGAUACUAUUAUUGUCCUCAUUUUAUAGGUGAAGAAACUAAAAUAUAAAAAUGUUAAAUUACUUGCCCAAAAACCUACUGUUAGUAAGGGACAAAAUUAAGAUUUAAACCAAGGACUUUGGCUCUAGACCAAAUACUUAAGCACAGCAAUAUAGUACCCCUGACAGAAAAAUAUUUUGUUAUGUUUUAUGGGCUUAGACUAGUGUUUCUCAACCUUGGGUUCCAGGUGCCCAGGGCCCUCAAACAUUUUCAGAGAUGUUCUCACAUUCUCUUCAAGAACUUUUAAUUUUAUGUUUAGUUUUCAGCUGAAGUGAAGCUUAAGCUAUAACUAACAUAGUUUUUUCACCUUUAGAAAGCUUGGUUGUUAAGAGGGUCCUCAUGCUAACAGGAGCCUCAAAGGCAGGGUCUGCCAGCCAGAAAGAGAGGAGCAGAGGGAGCUGGGGCAGGCAACCGCGCUGGAACCACUGUGCAUCCUCCAGGUCUCCUGAAGUUAUCCAUUUCAUGAAGACGUCCCAGUACUCCCCACUGCAUUUGCUCUCUCUGGAUGCUUAUUGUCCUUUGUGUGCACCUCUCUUGUGGCCCUUCACUCAAGAUGGCCAGUGUUAGCGUUCUUUGUAUAUUGACCAACCGACUUCUAUGUUGGAACCACCUUGAGAGUGCCAUACAGACUGCUGGUGGCUCUGAAUAUUGAAUCUUUCCUUCGCAAUAGAACCUUGAAUUUUAGCUGGGUACAUUGCCAGGCAACUAAAAGACCACAUUCCCCAGUCUUCUAUGGCUACACAUGUGACUCAUAUGACUAAUCUCUAACCAAAUGAGAUGUGAGCAGAAAUGUUGAAAUAAAUUUCAAGAAAAUUUUCUUUUAAAAAAGGUAUGAUGGUAAUGGGAAAGAUAUGCAUAUGUGAGAGUACAAGGUGUAUAAAAAAUCUCGUACCUUCUGCUCAAGUUUUUGUGAACCUAAAAUUGCCCUUUAAAAAUAUCUAAUAAAAAAUUUAAAUAAUAA